GCUCCGUUGGUGAACCAGCGGAGGGAUCAUUACCGAGUGCAAACUCAUAACCCUUUGUGAACCUAUAUCUGUUGCUUCGGCGGCUCGCUCUCGGGCGAGCCCGCCGGUAAUAUCAGUAUCUCUGUUUGAACCCGACGAUACUUCUGAGUGUUCUUAGCGAACAGUUAAAACUUUUAACAACGGACCUCUUGGCUCUAACAUCGAUGAAGAACGCAGC
rnacentral:misc_RNA from 1 species